CUUGGCGGCUCGGUAUAUGUAUAAUAUACCGAUUCCUAGGUUUUCGGCCCUUCUGAAGCCAUUCCUGCCCUUGUUUUAGCCAUCUGAGGAAGUAGUUAGGCAUUGGAGUUAGCUUAUCGUGAGUAAAUUUCGACCCAGGCCAACGAGGUAAGCGACUUUACUGUUGUAGUUAGUUUACUGUAUGUAUGAUGGUGCAUGCCCUAUGGCCUUUGCAUGCACCCUAUUUGUUAUGAAAUGUCGAUGUUAUGUCAUGCCUAUGUGUUCUUGUAUUGUCAUGAAUUGUUUACUACGUAAUGCAUGCAACCUAUUACACUGUUUCCAUGAAA